rnacentral:rRNA from 1 species
UACGUAGGGUGCAAGCGUUGUCCGGAAUUAUUGGGCGUAAAGAGCUUGUAGGCGGUCUGUCGCGUCUGCUGUGAAAAUCCGGGGCUCAACCCGGACUUGCAGUGGGUACGGGCAGACUAGAGUGUGGUAGGGGAGACUGGAAUUCCUGGUGUAGCGGUGGAAAAUGCGCAGGAUAUCAGGAGGAACACCGGUGGCGAAGGCGGGUCUCUGGGCCGAUACUGACGCUGAGGAGCGAAAGCGUGGGGAGCGAACAGG